GUCUAUGGUCAUACCACCUGAAUGCACCCGAUCUUGUCUGAUCUCAGAAGCUAAGCAGGGUUGGCGCUGGUUAGUAUUUGGCUGGGAGAAAUUAAAUAGCAUUUACAAUUACCA
rfam:Heterocephalus glaber contig96293, whole genome shotgun sequence.